UACGGAGGGUGCAAGCGUUAUCCGGAUUCACUGGGUUUAAAGGGUGUGUAGGCGGGCUGUUAAGUCAGUGGUGAAAUCUCCGGGCUCAACCCGGAAACUGCCAUUGAUACUAUCAGUCUUGAAUCUUGUUGAGGUGGGCGGAAUAUAUCAUGUAGCGGUGAAAUGCUUAGAUAUGAUAUAGAACACCGAUUGCGAAGGCAGCUCACUAAGCAAGUAUUGACGCUGAGGCACGAAAGCGUGGGGAUCAAACAGG
rnacentral:rRNA from 1 species